UACAGAGACCUCAAGCGUUAUCCGGAAUCAUUGGGCGUAAAGCGUACCGAUAGGUGGUUGAAAUAGUCUUGGGUGAAAGCCCGAAGCUUAACUUCGGAGUUUGCUUAAGAUACUUUUCGACUAGAGGGGCAAAUAGGGAACUGGAACGAACGGUGUAGUAGUGAAAUGCGUUGAUAUCGUUCGGAACACCGAAAGCGAAGGCAGGUUCCUGGGUGCCACCUGACACUGCUAGGACGAAAGCGUGGGUAGCGAAUGGG
rnacentral:rRNA from 1 species